CAAUAGCGUAUAUUAAAGUUGUUGCAGUUAAAAAGCUCGUAGUUGGAUUUCUGGUUGAAGCGACCGGUCGGGCGUUGAUUCGUCUGCACUGGAGUCGGUUUUGGCCAUCCUCUAGGAAAGUGCGUCUGGUAUUAAGUUAUCGGGCGUAUGAUCCUGGUCUUUUACUGUGAAAAAUUAGAGUGUUUAAAGCAGGCCUUCGCCUUGAAUACAUUAGCAUGGAAUAAUAAGAUAGGACUUUGGUCUAUUUUGUUGGUUUGCAGACCGAAGUAAUGAUUAAUAGGGAUAGUUGGGGGUAUUUAUAUUCCGAUGUCAGAGGUGAGAUUCUUAGAUUUUCGGAAGAUAAACUUAUGCGAAAGCAUUUACCAAGGAUGUUUNCAUUAA
rnacentral:rRNA from 1 species